AUGCCUCUUCCUAUUUCUUAUCAACCUUGGGAAGACAUUAGCAUGGAUUUUGUACUUGGUUUGCCUAGAACUCAAAAUGGAAAGGAUUCCGUACUUUUUGUUGUGGACCGAUUUUCUAAGAUGGCACAUUUCAUUCCUUGCAACAAGAUAGACGAUGCUUCACAUGUUGCAAAUCUCUUUUGUAGGGAAAUCUUGCACCUCCAUGGAGUACCAAAGACAAUCGUCUCCGACCGCGACGUCAAGUUCUUGAGUUACUUUUGGAAGACACGAUGCGCCAAGCUCGGAAUCAAGCUCUUGUUCUCAUCCGCAUACCAUCCUCAAACCGAUGGCCAAACGGAGGUGACGAACCGGACACUAUCCACUCUACUUCGCGUGUUGAUCAAGAAGAACAUCAAGGAGUGGGAGGCGUGUCUACCCAUAGCCGAGUACUCCUACAACCGGGCAAGACAUUCGACUACCGGCAAGUCCCCCUUCGAGGUCGUCUACGGCUUCAACCCGUUGUCCCCUUUGGACAUUCUACCUCUUCCCCUACAAGAGCGCACCAACAUGGAUGCGAUUGCACGAUCAAGCUACAUCAAGCAGAUGCAUAAAGAUACAAGGAACAUCAUCGAGCGCCAAGUACAACGACUAGCAACCAAGCUCAACAUCAACAAGCAACCCAUGAUCUUCAACAUUGGCGAUCUGUGUGGCUACACCUUUGUAAGGACCGCUUCCCCAACAAACGCAAGUCUAAACUUCUCCCUCGAGCCAAUGGAAAAUUCAAGGUGCUAG
rnacentral:rRNA from 1 species